AUGCAAGUCGAGCGGAUGAGAAAGAGCUUGCUCUUCGAUUCGGCGGCGGAGGGGUGAGUAAUACCUAGGAAUCUGCCUGGUAGUGGGGGACAACGUUUCGAAAGGAACGCUAAUACCGCAUACGUCCUACGGGAGAAAGCAGGGGACCUUCGGGCCUUGCGCUAUCAGAUGAGCCUAGGUCGGAUUAGCUUGUUGGUGAGGUAAUGGCUCACCAAGGCUACGAUCCGUAACUGGUCUGAGAGGAUGAUCAGUCACACUGGAACUGAGACACGGUCCAGACUCCUACGGGAGGCAGCAGUGGGGAAUAUUGGACAAUGGGCGAAAGCCUGAUCCAGCCAUGCCGCGUGUGUGAAGAAGGUCUUCGGAUUGUAAAGCACUUUAAGUUGGGAGGAAGGGCAGUAAGCGAAUACCUUGCUGUUUUGACGUUACCGACAGAAUAAGCACCGGCUAACUCUGUGCCAUCAGCCGCGGUAAUACAGAAGGUGCAAGCGUUAAUCGGAAUUACUGGGCGUAAAGCGCGCGUAGGUGGUUCGUUAAGUUGGAUGUGAAAUCCCCGGGCUCAACCUGGGAACUGCAUCCAAAACUGGCGAGCUAGAGUAGGGCAUAGGGUGGUGGAAUUUCCUGUGUAGCGGUGAAAUGCGUAGAUAUAGGAAGGAACACCAGUGGCGAAGGCGACCACCUGGGCUCAUACUGACACUGAGGUGCGAAAGCGUGGGGAGCAAACCGGAUUAGAUACCUGGUAGUCCACGCCGUAAACGAUGUCAACUAGCCGAUGGAAUCCUUGAGAUUUAGUGGCGCAGCUAACGCAUUAAGUUGACCGCCUGGG
rnacentral:rRNA from 1 species